rnacentral:rRNA from 1 species
UGGGGGAUAUUGCACAAUGGGCGAAAGCCUGAUGCAGCAACGCCGCGUGAGGGAAGACGGUCUUCGGAUUGUAAACCUUUAGCUUUGGGGAAGAAACAAAUGACGGUACCCAAAGGGGCAGCCACGGCUAACUACGUGCCAGCAGCCGCGGUAAUACGUAGGUGGCAAGCGUUGUCCGGAAUUACUGGGUGUAAAGGGAGCGCAGACGGGGAGACAAGUCAGCUGUGAAAACUAUGGGCUUAACCCAUAGAUUGCAGUUGAAACUGUUUUUCUUGAGUGGAGUAGAGGUAGGCGGAAUUCCGAGUGUAGCGGUGAAAUGCGUAGAUAUUCGGAGGAACACCAGUGGCGAAGGCGGCUUUCUGGACUGUCACUGACGCUGAGGCACGAAAGCGUGGGGAGCAAACA